GACGAACGCUGGCGGCGUGCCUAAUACAUGCCAGUCGAGCGAAGUUUUUCUGGUGCUUGCACCGGAAAAACUUAGCGGCGAACGGGUGAGUAACACGUAAAGAACCUGCCUCAUAGACUGGGACAACUAUUGGAAACGAUAGCUAAUACCGGAUAAUAGCAUUAACUGCAUGGUUGAUGUUUAAAAGUUGGUUUUGCUAACACUAUGAGAUGGCUUUGCGGUGCAUUAGCUAGUCGGUGGGGUAAAGGCCUACCAAGGCGACGAUGCAUAGCCGACCUGAGAGGGUGAUCGGCCACACUGGGACUGAGACACGGCCCAGACUCCUACGGGAGGCAGCAGUAGGGAAUCUUCCGCAAUGGGCGAAAGCCUGACGGAGCAACGCCGCGUGAGUGAAGAAGGAUUUCGGUUCGUAAAGCUCUGUUGUUAGGGAAGAAUGAUUGUGUAGUAACUAUACACAGUAGAGACGGUACCUAACCAGAAAGCCACGGCUAACUACGUG
rnacentral:rRNA from 1 species